rnacentral:rRNA from 1 species
GACGAACGCUGGCGGCGCGCCUAACACAUGCAAGUCGAACGAGAGAUGAGGAGCUUGCUCUUCAAAUCGAGUGGCGAACGGGUGAGUAACGCGUGAGGAACCUGCCUCAAAGAGGGGGACAACAGUUGGAAACGACUGCUAAUACCGCAUAAGAUUGUAGUACCGCAUGGUACAGCAAUUAAAGGAGCAAUCCGCUAUGAGAUGGGCCCGCGGCGCAUUAGCUAGUUGGUGAGGUAACGGCCCACCAAGGCGACGAUGCGUAGCCGACCUGAGAGGGUGAUCGGCCACAUUGGGACUGAGACACGGCCCAGACUCCUACGGGAGGCAGCAGUGGGGAAUAUUGCACAAUGGGGGAAACCCUGAUGCAGCAACGCCGCGUGAGUGAUGACGGCCUUCGGGUUGUAAAACUCUGUCUUCAGGGACGAUAAUGACGGUACCUGAGGAGGAAGCCACGGCUAACUACGUGCCAGCAGCCGCGGUAACAC